AUCUAAAUAGCUUAUGUUUUAGAGCAUGACAUUGAAGAUGUUAAUGAGGUGUUGUUUAUUGCCUUUAG
rnacentral:tRNA from 1 species